GGUCUGGGUAUGGCUCAGACCCCCAAGAAUCCCCCAGUGAGGGGCUGGGGGAGUGGCUUAUGGAUAGAAAGCCUACCUAGUCUCAGCAAGGUCCUGGGUUCCAAUCCCAGCAAAAACAAAAAUAGAAAAUUUAGAACAGACAUGCGGACACAUAUGAGCAUCAAGGAAGCAGGGCAGCACGUUCUAUAUGGACAACCUGAUCUGCACAACUACUUCUCCCUAAAGUACACCCCCUUCAGGAACAGCUUCCCACAUCCACAGUGCAUGCCUUCUGCUUCACAGGUGGCUUAGAAACACCAUAGACUGGCACCUGAGUUAUCUUUUAUUUAUUUUUUAAAUUAUAUGUUUGAAAGGUCUCACUAUUGUCACAGGCUGGACAGGAACUCACAGAGAUUCCCGCUCCCUCCAGAGUGCUGGGGUUGAAGAUAGGAGCAACCACGGGAAACCAAGCUCACACCAGCUCUGAAGGCUGAAUGCUCCAUGCUGGGUGAUGAUGGCCAGGCUGGCUCCUCCUCUCCUGAUUCUGAGCCCAGGGUUUGUGGUUCAGUUUACUGCAGUAUGGGAGGAUGGCGCUCAAGACCCAGCGCAGGAUGGAAACACCCUAACCACACACCAGCUCAUCACUGGGUGCUUCUGGACAGGGCUCCACUCUGACCACGGCCCUAACCUUCAGUAUGGAUACCAGGCCUCAUGUCCAGGAAGGUCAAAAGAGAGAUACCCUGGGAUUGGAGUUACAGAUCGCUUUUUAGCAGACUAGUGGUGCUGGGAAUCAAACCCUGUUCCUCUGCAAGAGAAACUGGCACUCUGAGCGACAGAGGCAACUCUCCAAUCCUCUUCUUCACUUUGUCUUUGACUGUGGAAAUUAUAGAACACUAGAGUGAAAAUCACAUUUGGCAACCAAGGUGUAUAAUGUCCUCUGUCUUUUCUAAUCAAAUAAUGGCGAUCAACUUCAAAUUCUUGGAUUCCUCCUCCACUGGUCCCUUUGCCAGCUGAGUCAGCUCACCAGUCCACCACUGUACUGCAAAACGCCAUGUUUCUGAGGUGUCUGUUGAAUCGCCUCCCAGCCUGUUAGUCCUGCUGUAGUUCAACGUAUGCUUGUUCAGAGAGUAAAAUCAAAGCACUACGGGAAGGCAAAUCAGCCUCCUAAGGUCAAGGAAUACACGACCAGCUCCCAGUCUCCUUUUAUAAAGCAUUGCUCAUUUGUUUUAUUGUGUGGGGCAGGGUUGCAUAUGUCACAGGAGCUCAGAGGACAACUUGAGGGACUUGGUUCUCUCUCUCUCUCUUUUUAAUUUUUUAUUUUUUUUUCUGAGACAACGUUUCUCUGUGUAGCUCUCGCUGU